UGGAUAUUUUCCCCGAAAAUAAAAAAUAAAGUUUAGCGUAGGCUCCACGGAGCCAUUUUCCCCUAGGCCCAAAAAAAGGACGACUUUGGGCCGUUUUUU
rnacentral:sRNA from 1 species